rnacentral:rRNA from 1 species
UGCUUCAUAAAUAAUACUUUCUAUUAAUUCCUAAAAAAAUUUUUUUAUGUUAAAUAGUACUACAAUAAAACCUUACUCAAACUAAACAACCGCAAGGGCUACCAACCUUGCUUACCACAGAAAAGAUAAUAACUUCUCCCUCUUGCAUCAUGGAGGAGCAACAAAACCGUAAAAACUCUUAUACUCCCGAAUAAUUAUGAGCUACUAAACCCUAAAACUUAAUGUUUCACAAUUAAAAAAUUAGCUUUUAGUAGGAGUAACAAGCCUUUCAUAUAAUUAGAUAGCUGGUUUUCCGCAAAAAGUAUCAAAGUACUGUCCAAUAGUAAUUUUAUAUUUAAAUCAAACUAUAGGAGUCAACCUUUUAAGGACUAGCCUAAAAGGGAAACUAUAAUAAUUACAAACACCACACCUUCAGUGUAGACUUAAAAGCAGCCACCGAACAGCGUUCUAGCUAGUAAAUAUUUAUAAUACAACAUUAAAAGUAAAAUUUUAAUUAAAGCGAAAUCUAGUACCAAACACCCCUACUAACAAACAGGCAUCCUAUUAGUAUUACAACAACAAAAUAUUAAAAAUAUUAAUAAAAUUAACACCAAAAAAUAUUACUUUAUUUCAACCAUACAGAGUGAACUCGGCAACAAAAUUUCCCCUGCCUGUUUACCAAAAACAUCGUCUUCUGUAAAUUUAUAUAGAAGAUAAUGCCUGCCCAGUGAAAACUUUAAACGGCCGCGUUAGCGUGAGCGUGCUAAGGUAGCGUAAUAAAUAGCCUUUUAAUUGGAGGCCAGUGAAUGGCAAGACUAGGGACAUCUGUACCCUGUAUAUAAAAACAACUUUUCAUCUGGGUGAAAAGACCCAAAUAAUAAAGGAAGACGAAAAGACCCCGCGGAACUUUACCUUUUCCAGUCUCCACAUGCUCAGAAACAUAAGAACAAAAGGUUUGAUUGGGGCAAUCUCGGAACCACCAAAACUUCCGACUCAUAAGAAAUAAGCAUAUAAAACUUGAUAAGGACCAAAAAGAAGUUACCCCGGGGAUAACAGCGUAAUCCAACUUGAGAGUACACAUCGAAAGCUGGGUUUGCGACCUCGAUGUUGGCUUAAGGAUAUCCACAUAAGUGCAACCGCUAUGAUAGGACAGUCUGUUCGACUAUUAUACCCUUACACGAGCUGAGUUAAGACCGGCGCAAGCUAGGUUGGUUUCUAUCUCCUUAACCUAAUAACUUUUUUGAUUGUACGAAAGGACCCCAAGAAGUGCAACAGACAAUAAGCAUAUAGUUUUAAACCAAAUAAACCUAAACCUAAUUCCCCUAUAAA